AUUGAACGCUGGCGGCAGGCCUAACACAUGCAAGUCGAGCGGAUGAAGGGAUCUUGCUCCUGGCUUCAGCGGCGGACGGGUGAGUAAUGCCUAGGAAUCUGCCUGGUAGUGGGGGAUAACGUCCGGAAACGGGCGCUAAUACCGCAUACGUCCUGAGGGAGAAAGUGGGGGAUCUUCGGACCUCACGCUAUCAGAUGAGCCUAGGUCGGAUUAGCUAGUUGGUGGGGUAAAGGCCUACCAAGGCGACGAUCCGUAACUGGUCUGAGUGGAUGAUCAGUCACACUGGAACUGAGACACGGUCCAGACUCCGACGGGAGGCAGCAGUGGGGAAUAUUGGACAAUGGGCGAAAGCCUGAUCCAGCCAUGCCGCGUGUGUGAAGAAGGUCUUCGGAUUGUAAAGCACUUUAAGUUGGGAGGAAGGGCAGUAAGUUAAUACCUUGCUGUUUUGACGUUACCAACAGAAUAAGCACCGGCUAACUUCGUG
rnacentral:rRNA from 1 species